GACGAACCGUGCGAACGUUGUUCGGAAUCACUGGGUUUAAAGGGCGCGUAGGCGGGCUGUCAAGUCGGUGGUGAAAUCUUUCGGCUCAACCGGAAAAUCGCCUUCGAUACUGGCGGCCUUGAGGGAGGUAGGGGCAUGCGGAACUUCCGGUGGAGCGGUGAAAUGCGUAGAUAUCGGAAGGAACACCUGUGGCGAAAGCGGCUCACUGGACCAUUACUGACGCUGAGGCACGAAAGCUAGGGGAGCAAACAGG
rnacentral:rRNA from 1 species